GCGGCAUCACAGUCUUCCCCAAAGCUGCCCCCUGUGGUUUGAAAAUACAUCCAGCUGAGCCCCUUCCCCUUGAGCGCGGGCUGGACUUGAGGCUGACCUGCUUCUAGAGGGGAGAAGGGGGCAGGAGAGCCGGUGUAUGGAUCCUGGGACCAGGAACUGGAGACUUUGAAGAAAUCGUGGAUCCGGGGCCGGGGCCAGGACUGGCUGAAGGGUCCCGAGCCAGGAGGAAACAGGGUGCUCACAGACUCAACGUCCCGCCCCACAGAAACGUAUUAACUGCGGAGAGCGAAGCUUACCUCUGCCGCAGGGAACCCGGGCAGAUGCUUCCUUCAUCAAAUGGCCAAAUCAGACCAGGCCCCCACGCCCCUGUGGGACCCCUCCAGGACCCAGCGUCCCCUCCGGGACGUCCCCGGAUGACCAGCCCCUCCUGCAGCAAACACAGCAAACCACGCGCGGAGCCGCACAAAGGAGCAGCAGGCAGACGCCAGCGCCGGCCGUUCUGGAGAACGACCCGUUGUCCCAGCGAGUGUCGAGGUCGUGCCAGGCGAGGACAGGUCACUCCAGGCUGAAGGACAUUAAAGGGACGUGAGAAAGGACCUUUCCCAGCCCUCCUUGUCCAGCGGGGCCACCCAACCACUGCCACUCCGGGCCUUCCUGGGCGCUGCCUCCCCACCAAGUGACAGCAGGUACUCACCCGACCACAUGAUGCCGUGGCCAGGCCACCGGAGGGAAGCCCCCCCCCAUCCCCGGAGGAGAGUCUCACAGGAGGAGGCCCCCGUCCCCAUGACCCAGAACUCACCUUGGAUUCUGCUCAGCUGUUGCAGCAGCUACUGUCUCCGGCUGGAGGAUCCCGGGGCCCAGGCGUCUGAAGGCUGGUGGCGCCCACGGGUGUGUGUGCGUUGCACACGUGCUCAGGACCGCCCGUGCCCCUGCACACAGGAGCCCAGUUCCCAGGGUCAGGACCCGGUGGGGCCAGCGCUGUGGGGAGGUGCCCACCCUGGAGGACUCGGAUGGUCCGAGGGGUGCCCGCCCCCCGCCCCCCCAGCAGCCCGGCUCCCGGAGCCCACGAGGGAGGCCGGGGUGGCGCGGGGUGUGGCCCCCGGCCCCCGGGAGCGGCUUAGCCUCCAUUCCCCGGGUCAGUGUGUCAGCCCAGCCGCCGGCCCGUCAGCCAGAUGGUCGCUUCGGCAGAGAGAGAAACACCUGACACGCCAUCUCAAACUGAUUUCACGGCGGCCUCUGGAGAGGCCCUGCGAGCUCCUGACAGUCCGAUCUGUUGUGAAUAAAUAUGACAAAAUUGCCAAUUACGGGAGGGAGGCUUCAUUGUCGGGCCGGCCGGGCUGGCCGUGGCUGUGCACUCCGGGGCCGACCCCGGCGGGAACCCGCCCGGCGGACAGAGAGCGCUGGGCCUGGUUGAAGGGGAGCUGGGCCGCAGCCAGACGCUGCACCAGCAGGCACGGGAUGAGACGGCGCGGCCGGGGGCCUGCCAGUCUGGGCAGACGGGCCCCACCGCCCUCCCCACACACCCCGG